GUGAAUAACACAAUCCAUCAUCAAUACUUUGUGUUACUCAGAAACUGAAAGUUAUUCCGAGUCUUGCAUAUCUUUGGACCUACUCGUUUUUCUACCAUUAUUGCUGAUUGUUAAGCUCUCGCUACUUGAAUCGGCAUUGUUGGAGUGGGAAGGUUCAAAAAAUUGGAGUUAUGACUAGUUGUCUCUUUCUAUGUACGAUGGAGAAAAUGAAUAAACAACUGAGAAAAUGGCUCUUGUUUAGUUGAUGAUGCUCUUAAGCUUUCCACUG